CCCUUAGAUGUUCUGGGCCGCACGCGCGCUACACUGACGAAGUCAGCGAGCAUGUCCUACGCCGAUAGGAGCGGGGAAUCUUGUGAAACUUCGUCGUGCUGGGGAUUGAUUAUUGAAAUUAUUGAUCAUCAACGAGGAAUUCCUAGUAAGCGCAAGUCAGCAGCUUGCGUUGAUUACGUCCCUGCCCUUUGUACACACCGCCCGUCGCUACUACCGAUUGAAUGGUUUAGUGAGAUCUUCGGAUUGGUGCCACCGAGUCCAGCAAUGGACACGGUGAAUAUCGAAAAGUCGAUCAAACUUGAUCAUUUAGAGGAAGUAAAAGUCGUAACA
rnacentral:rRNA from 1 species